rnacentral:rRNA from 1 species
GACGAACGCUGGCGGCGUGCCUAACACAUGCAAGUCGAACGGAAAGGCCCUGCUUUUGUGCGGUGCUCGAGUGGCGAACGGGGGAGUAACACGUGAGUAACGUGCCCUUGACUUUGGGGUAAGUUCAGGAAACUGGGGCUAAUACCGGAUAGGAGCUCCCGCUGCAUGGUGGGGGUUGGAAAGUUUCGGCGGUUGGGGAUGGACUCGCGGCUUAUCAGCUUGUUGGUGGGGUAGUGGCUUACCAAGGCUUUGACGGGUAGCCGGCCUGGGAGGGUGACCGGCCACAUUGGGCCUGAGAUGCGGCCCAGACUCGUACGGGAGGCAGCAGUGGGGAAGAUUGCACAAUGGGCGGGGGCCUGAUGCAGCAACGCCGCGUGCGGGAUGACGGCCUUCGGGUUGUAAACCGCUUUCGCCUGUGACGAAGCGUGAGUGACGGUAAUGGGUAAAUAAGCACCGGCUAACUACGUG